GGGAGCNUAACUUGGNCAGUCGAGGGGCAUCGGGAGGGAAGCUUGGCUUUUCCUCUGCCGGCGACCGGCGCACGGGUGAGUAACACGUAUGCAACCUGCCCUCUUCAGGGGGACAACCUUCCGAAAGGGAGGCUAAUCCCGCGUAUAUCGGUUUCGGGCAUCCGAGAUCGAGGAAAGAUUCAUCGGAAGAGGAUGGGCAUGCGGCGCAUUAGCUUGACGGCGGGGUAACGGCCCACCGUGGCGACGAUGCGUAGGGGUUCUGAGAGGAAGGUCCCCCACACUGGUACUGAGACACGGACCAGACUCCUACGGGAGGCAGCAGUGAGGAAUAUUGGUCAAUGGGAGAGAUCCUGAACCAGCCAAGCCGCGUGAGGGAAGACGGCCCUAUGGGUUGUAAACCUUUUUUGUCGGAGAACAAAACCCGGGACGUGUCCCGGACUGCGUGUAUCCGAAGAAAAAGCAUCGGCUAACUCCGUGCCAGCAGCCGCGGUAAUACGGAGGAUGCGAGCGUUAUCCGGAUUUAUUGGGUUUAAAGGGUGCGUAGGCGGUCCGUUAAGUCAGCGGUAAAAUUGCGGGGCUCAACCCCGUCGGGCCGUUGAAACUGGCAGACUUGAGUUGGCGAGAAGUACGCGGAAUGCGCGGUGUAGCGGUGAAAUGCAUAGAUAUCGCGCAGAACUCCGAUUGCGAAGGCAGCGUACCGGCGCCAGACUGACGCUGAGGCACGAAAGCGUGGGGAUCGAACAGGAUUAG
rnacentral:rRNA from 1 species